rnacentral:misc_RNA from 1 species
GAUGAAGAACGUAGCGAAAUGCGAUAAGUAAUGUGAAUUGCAGAAUUCAGUGAAUCAUCGAAUCUUUGAACGCACCUUGCGCCCUUUGGCCAUUCCGAAGGGCAUGCCUGUUUGAGUAUCAUGAACACCUCAACUCUUCAUGGUUUUCCGUGAUGAGCUUGGACUUUGGGGGUCUUGCUGGCCUAUGGUCAGCUCCUCUAAAAUAAAUCAGCUUGCCAGUGUUUGGUGGGUAUCACAGGUGUGAUAACUAUCUACGCUUGUGGUUUUCCACCAGGUAACCUUCAGCAGUGGAGGUUCGCUGGAGCUCACAGAUGUGUCUCUCCUCAGUGACGACAGCUCUUUGAAUGUUUGAUCUCAAAUCAGGUAGGACUACCCGCUGAACUUAAGCAUAUCAAUAAGCGGAGGA